rfam:Nostoc sp. PCC 7107, complete genome.
GUUUAAACUUCACCUAAUCCCUAUUAGGGAUUGAAAC